GAAAAAAAUACAGAAGAAAGAUGCCAAACACAAUGUUUUUUUGUGGAAUUUGUCUUCCUUGGUCCUGAUAAUGGCUCUCUCCCUGGAUUCAUCUGAGUUGAAGUUCAGAGCCUCUCUGAGACACUCUGCAAGAGAUGGAGAGAACAGUGUGGCCCCAGUGCAAGGCAAAUGCAUACUUGAAAGGAAGAUGAAGUGACUGUCGCUGUAUUCUCACCAGAGAGGAAGGAAGAAAGGAAGACUUUUUUGUGUGCCCAUUGCUUGGAGUUUACUAGUUUACUGCUAUAUUGAUAUUCACUCUUGUAUACAGAGAAGAGAGAAGGAAGGAAGGGGAAUAAAGAGAAACAAGGAGUCUCUUCAGUUCUAUCCCAAAUCAAAUAAACCAAACGUAUGUGAAAUUUGUACAAAGUAUUUACCUGUUAACUUUUAUGUGAUGCUUGUAUUAAAAGUUAACAAUAGUAUAAUCAUUUUCUUUUCAAAAGCGUCUGAAGUUUCAGACUGGUUUAGAUUGCAUUUUCAGAGUCCAUGGUAUUAACAAAAAUGUAGAUAUUAAUUAAAUUCAUAGAAACUGUUUAGAAUAAACGUGUCAAAAAAUUU